rnacentral:rRNA from 1 species
CAGAGGUCCCAAGCGUUGUUCGGAUUCACUGGGCGUAAAGGGUGCGCAGGUGGGUUGGCAAGUUCGAUGUGAAAGCCCCGGGCUUAACCCGGGAAUGGCAUUGGAUACUGCUGAUCUGGAGGAUCGGAGGGGGGACUGGAAUUCUUGGUGUAGCAGUGAAAUGCGUAGAUAUCAAGAGGAACACCAGUGGCGAAGGCGAGUCCCUGGACGAUACCUGACACUGAGGCACGAAAGCCAAGGGAGCAAACAGGAUUAGAUACCCUGGUAGUCUUGGCUGUAAACGGUGCGCAUUUGCUGUAAACGGAAUCGACCCCGUUUGUGGCGAAGCUAACGCGAUAAAUGCGCCGCCUGGGAAGUACGGUCGCAAGAUUA